AGUGAACGCUGGCGGUAGACCUAACACAUGCAAGUCGAACGGCAGCACAGUAAGAGCUUGCUCUUACGGUGGCGAGGGGCGGACGGGGGAGGAAAACAUUGGAAUCCUCUUUUUUGGUGGGGGUAACGGAGGGAAAACUACCCUAAAUACCCCUUCGACCUUCGGGGUGAAAGCAGGGGACCUUCGACCUUGGGCGGUUGGAUUAGCCGAUGUCGGAUUAGCUAGUUGGCGGGGUAAAGGCCCACCAAGGCGACGAUCCGUAGCUGGUCUGAGAGGAUGAUCAGCCACACUGGAACUGAGACACGGUCCAGACUCCUACGGGAGGCAGCAGUGGGGAAUAUUGGACAAUGGGCGCAAGCCUGAUCCAGCCAUACCGCGUGGGUGAAGAAGGCCUUCGGGUUGUAAAGCCCUUUUGUUGGGAAAGAAAAGCAGCAGGUUAAUACCCCGCUGUUCUGACGGUACCCAAAGAAUAAGCACCGGCUAACUUCGUG
rnacentral:rRNA from 1 species